rnacentral:rRNA from 3 species
CGAACGGUAACAGGAAGCAGCUUGCUGCUUCGCUGACGAGUGGCGGACGGGUGAGUAAUGUCUGGGAAACUGCCUGAUGGAGGGGGAUAACUACUGGAAACGGUGGCUAAUACCGCAUAACGUCGCAAGACCAAAGAGGGGGACCUUCGGGCCUCUUGCCAUCAGAUGUGCCCAGAUGGGAUUAGCUUGUUGGUGAGGUAACGGCUCACCAAGGCGACGAUCCCUAGCUGGUCUGAGAGGAUGACCAGCCACACUGGAACUGAGACACGGUCCAGACUCCUACGGGAGGCAGCAGUGGGGAAUAUUGCACAAUGGGCGCAAGCCUGAUGCAGCCAUGCCGCGUGUAUGAAGAAGGCCUUCGGGUUGUAAAGUACUUUCAGCGGGGAGGAAGGUGUUGUGGUUAAUAACCGCAGCAAUUGACGUUACCCGCAGAAGAAGCACCGGCUAACUCCGUGCCAGCAGCCGCGGUAAUACGGAGGGUGCAAGCGUUAAUCGGAAUUACUGGGCGUAAAGCGCACGCAGGCGGUCUGUCAAGUCGGAUGUGAAAUCCCCGGGCUCAACCUGGGAACUGCAUUCGAAACUGGCAGGCUUGAGUCUUGUAGAGGGGGGUAGAAUUCCAGGUGUAGCGGUGAAAUGCGUAGAGAUCUGGAGGAAUACCGGUGGCGAAGGCGGCCCCCUGGACAAAGACUGACGCUCAGGUGCGAAAGCGUGGGGAGCAAACAGGAUUAGAUACCCUGGUAGUCCACGCCGUAAACGAUGUCUACUUGGAGGUUGUGCCCUUGAGGCGUGGCUUCCGGAGCUAACGCGUUAAGUAGACCGCCUGGGGAGUACGGCCGCAAGGUUAAAACUCAAAUGAAUUGACGGGGGCCCGCACAAGCGGUGGAGCAUGUGGUUUAAUUCGAUGCAACGCGAAGAACCUUACCUGGUCUUGACAUCCACAGAAGAAUCCAGAGAUGGAUUUGUGCCUUCGGGAACUGUGAGACAGGUGCUGCAUGGCUGUCGUCAGCUCGUGUUGUGAAAUGUUGGGUUAAGUCCCGCAACGAGCGCAACCCUUAUCCUUUGUUGCCAGCGGUUAGGCCGGGAACUCAAAGGAGACUGCCAGUGAUAAACUGGAGGAAGGUGGGGAUGACGUCAAGUCAUCAUGGCCCUUACGACCAGGGCUACACACGUGCUACAAUGGCGCAUACAAAGAGAAGCGACCUCGCGAGAGCAAGCGGACCUCAUAAAGUGCGUCGUAGUCCGGAUUGGAGUCUGCAACUCGACUCCAUGAAGUCGGAAUCGCUAGUAAUCGUGGAUCAGAAUGCCACGGUGAAUACGUUCCCGGGCCUUGUACACACCGCCCGUCACACCAUGGGAGUGGGUUGCAAAAGAAGUAGGUAGCUUAACCUUCGGGAGGGCGCUUACCACUUUGUGAUUCAUGACUGGGGUGAAGUCGUAACAAGGUAACCGUAGGGGAACCUGCGGUUGGAUCACCUCCUUACCUUAAAGAA